UACGGAGGAUGCAAGCGUUAUCCGGAUUUAUUGGGUUUAAAGGGCGUGUAGGCGGGGAAGCAAGUCAGAUGUGAAAUCCCGGGGCUCAACUCCGGAGUUGCAUCUGAAACUGUUUUUCUUGAGUGCUGGAGAGGAAAGCGGAAUUCCUAGUGUAGCGGUGAAAUGCGUAGAUAUUAGGAGGAACACCAGUGGCGAAGGCGGCUUUCUGGACAGUAACUGACGCUGAGGCGCGAAAGCGUGGGGAGCAAACAGGAUUAGAUACCCGUGUAGUCCCUGA
rnacentral:rRNA from 1 species